rnacentral:tRNA from 1 species
GCCUAAAUAGUUUAAUUUUAAAAUAUUGAUUUGUGGGGUCAAAGAUAUAAUUUAUUUUGGGUU